GACGAACGCUGGCGGCGUGCCUAAUACAUGCAAGUCGAACGGUCUUUUCUAUGGAAGCUUGCUUCCACUGAGAAGAUAGUGGCGAACGGGUGAGUAACACGUGGGUAACCUGCCCAUAAGAGGGGGAUAACAUCCGGAAACGGGUGCUAAUACCGCAUAGUUUUCUUGAUCGCAUGAUCGGGAAAGGAAAGACGGCCUUUGUGCUGUCGCUUAUGGAUGGACCCGCGGCGUAUUAGUUAGUUGGUGAGGUAACGGCUCACCAAGACGAUGAUACGUAGCCGACCUGAGAGGGUGAUCGGCCACAUUGGGACUGAGACACGGCCCAAACUCCUACGGGAGGCAGCAGUAGGGAAUCUUCCGCAAAUGGACGAAAGUCUGACGGAGCAACGCCGCGUGAGUGAAGAAGGUUUUCGGAUCGUAAAACUCUGUUGUCAGAGAAGAACAAGUUGGAGAGUAACUGCUCCAGCCUUGACGGUAUCUGACCAGAAAGCCACGGCUAACU
rnacentral:rRNA from 1 species